CCUACGGGCGGCAGCAGUGGGGAAUAUUGGACAAUGGGGGCAACCCUGAUCCAGCCAUGCCGCGUGUGUGAAGAAGGCCCUCGGGUUGUAAAGCACUUUCAGUGAGGAAGAACGCCUGGUGGUUAAUACCCAUCAGGAAAGACAUCACUCACAGAAGAAGCACCGGCUAACUCCGUGCCAGCAGCCGCGGUAAUACGGAGGGUGCGAGCGUUAAUCGGAAUUACUGGGCGUAAAGCGCGCGUAGGUGGCUUGAUAAGCCGGUUGUGAAAGCCCCGGGCUCAACCUGGGAACGGCAUCCGGAACUGUCAAGCUAGAGUGCAGGAGAGGAAGGUAGAAUUCCCGGUGUAGCGGUGAAAUGCGUAGAGAUCGGGAGGAAUACCAGUGGCGAAGGCGGCCUUCUGGACUGACACUGACACUGAGGUGCGAAAGCGUGGGUAGCAAACAGGAUUAGAUACCCGGUAGUC
rnacentral:rRNA from 1 species